UAAGGAAUAUUGGUCAAUGGACGCAAGUCUGAACCAGCCAUGCCGCGUGAAGGAUGAAGGUCCUCUGGAUUGUAAACUUCUUUUAUCUGGGACGAAAACGGGAUUUUUAUCUCAAUUGACGGUACCAGAGGAAUAAGCACCGGCUAACUCCGUGCCAGCAGCCGCGGUAAUACGGAGGGUGCGAGCGUUAUCCGGAUUUACUGGGUUUAAAGGGUGCGUAGGUGGGCUUAUAAGCCAGUGGUGAAAUCUCCGAGCCUAACUUGGAAACUGCCGUUGAUACUAUAGGUCUUGAAUUAUCUGGAGGUAAGCGGAAUAUGUCAUGUAGCGGUGAAAUGCUUAGAUAUGACAUAGAACACCAAUUGCGAAGGCAGCUUACUACAUAUAAAUUGACGCUGAGGCACGAAAGCGUGGGGAUCAAACA
rnacentral:rRNA from 1 species